rnacentral:rRNA from 1 species
GACGUAGGGCGCGAGCGUUGUCCGGAUUUAUUGGGCGUAAAGAGCUUGUAGGCGGUCUGUCGCGUCUGCUGUGAAAAUCCGGGGCUCAACCCCGGACUUGCAGUGGGUACGGGCAGACUAGAGUGUGGUAGGGGAGACUGGAAUCCUGGUGUAGCGGUGAAAUGCGCAGAUAUCAGGAGGAACACCGGUGGCGAAGGCGGGUCUCGUGGGCCGAUAUUGACGCUGAGGAGCGAAAGCGUGGGGAGCGAACAGG